UGUGUCUACUGUACAGCUGAUGCUGGGCUC
rnacentral:piRNA from 1 species